rnacentral:rRNA from 1 species
CCUACGGGCGGCAGCAGUGGGGAAUUUUGGACAAUGGGCGCAAGCCUGAUCCAGCUAUUCCGCGUGUGGGAUGACGGCCCUCGGGUUGUAAACCACUUUAGUAGAGAACGAAAAGGAGCUAUCGAAUAAAUAGCUCUGCUGACGGUACUCUAAGAAUAAGCACCGGCUAACUACGUGCCAGCAGCCGCGGUAAUACGUAGGGUGCGAGCGUUAUCCGGAUUUAUUGGGUUUAAAGGGUGCGUAGGCGGAGUGUCAAGUCAGCGGUAAAAUUUCGGGGCUCAACCCCGUCGUGCCGUUGAAACUGACGCCCUUGAGGGAGUGAGAAGUAAGCGGAAUGCGUGGUGUAGCGGUGAAAUGCAUAGAUGUCACGCAGAACGCCGAUUGCGAAGGCAGCUUACCGGCGCUCAACUGACGCUGAGGCACGAAAGUGCGGGUAUCGAACAGGAUUAGAUACCCGGGUAGUC